AUUGAACGCUGGCGGCAGGCCUAACACAUGCAAGUCGAGCGGAUGAAGGGAGCUUGCUCCUGGAUUCAGCGGCGGACGGGUGAGUAAUGCCUAGGAAUCUGCCUGGUAGUGGGGGAUAACGUCCGGAAACGGGCGCUAAUACCGCAUACGUCCUGAGGGAGAAAGUGGGGGAUCUUCGGACCUCACGCUAUCAGAUGAGCCUAGGUCGGAUUAGCUAGUUGGUGGGGUAAAGGCCCACCAAGGCGACGAUCCGUAACUGGUCUGAGAGGAUGAUCAGUCACACUGGAACUGAGACACGGUCCAGACUCCUACGGGAGGCAGCAGUGGGGAAUAUUGGACAAUGGGCGAAAGCCUGAUCCAGUCGUGCCGCGUGUGUGAAGAAGGUCUUCGGAUUGUAAAGCACUUUAAGUUGGGAGGAAGGGCAGUAAGUUAAUACCUUGCUGUUUUGACGUUACCAACAGAAUAAGCACCGGCUAACUUCGUG
rnacentral:rRNA from 1 species